ACUCCUGCGCCAUGACCGGUGACCCCGGUCUUGCGGCUGGGUGUGGGCGUUCGCUUUUGCUGUAGCGCAGCCGGUAGUGUUCCCUCACAUCUCGAGACCCGCAUCCCGUCCUUCUCUCUCCUCCUCCUUUCUCCUCGUCAGCCAUCAAUCCGCCUCCUCGCUGCUCCGGUUUACUCCACCGAUUUCUCUCCGGCUGCCGGCCUCCCAGCCCCCCACCUCACAACGGCAUUUCCUGAGGAGCAGCGCGAGCGAGGCCAACAGGCGGAAGGAUCGGAUCGUGGCCUCGCACGCUGGCUCGUCAUCUGCUUUGGCACCUUUCGGAUCUGCGCUGCUGCGUGCGAUGGUUCUAAAUCAGUGCAGGUCGUCGCCGCGGGAUAGUAGGGCCGGCGGAUUCUUCGCAUCGGGGGCUGGCUGGCAGGGGAGGGUUAGGAGGCCGGCAUGACUUGCUAACGAGCAUAGGUCGGCCGCGCUCUCGCUUUGACCGCUUUGCUCUCUUUCUCCUCCUCGUUGUGUUGCGCUCUCUCUCUCUCUCUUCGAUUGGAUUUCCUCUCCUUCACCGGUGGUGCUCUCGUCGGCUGCAAUGUCGUCCAUACUCUGGACGGGACUAUUGGUUGAUUAUCUUGCCAUCCGUUCUUCCUUCGGCGAUUAAUUGAGGAUGGAGCAGCAGGCAUAGAUGAAAUCUACUGCCAAUUUCUAUUGGUUGUGGCAUCUUCCGCUGAGUAACUCUACGAAACAGCCUGCUAGCAUUGAUUCUUGCAAUAAAAAAAUAAGUCUAGCAUCAUUCAUAAAAAGCUUAUAGACUUAGAUAAUUUCUUAAUCUUGCACUGGUUCUCACCAGUGAGAUUGUACAUGUGGUAUUUUGAGAAUACCAGUGUAAUUCACUGGUCCAAAAGCUCCAUUUCUUAAUGUGUUUUUGCAGAAUGCUACCAGUAAUGUUUUUCUUUUCCUUAAUGUACAAACAUAUCUAUUAGAUAUGAUUUUGGAUCUGAACUUUUCCCUGUCUGCAGCUCACAUUGUGGUAUGGUCAUGGUACAGCAAAAGGAAAAGAUGUUUAAACUUUUUUUGGGCGUCAUACAUGAAAAGUACCUUUAUUUCCAUCGAGCUUAAUUACUAAGAAAAUGUUACCACUAUUUCCUUACUAAUAAACCUAAAUGUUCUGAAAGUUCGGUCUCUUGCUCUCUUUGCUUAUGAAUCGGACACUUUGCCUUUCUUUAGUCCUUACACGGUUCCACCUCGCUUUGACUUCAUACUUUGAUGGUGUUUGUAGGUAUGAAGAGUGGUCAUAAUGUUACUUAAAGGAGGCCUCAACUCGCACCAAAUACAUGGGCAUGUGCAACAGCAACUUAUGUAGUUAGGAGGCUGAAGGUAGUAGCUUACUGAACUCUCAUUUCCGGAAAAAUCUGGAGAUGUCUUGUUUGUACAAUCUCUAAAGAUGGUGCUCCAUUGUUCUGUUAAUCAAGAUUUGUUCCCUCCUUUCUUACUAGCUGAUACGUGAUGACCGUUUGCACGGGGGGUUAUGUUAACUAUAUUCUAUUCAUGAUUCAAACUUUUUGUUGGGUAAUUUAGUUUAGACAUUGUGUCCUGAGAAUCUUGAUAUCUAGCUGUAUCGGUAUAGUGUAGUUUGUGAUUUUCCCUCUGAAUUUAUAUAUCCACUCAGGUUGGGAUAGGUUAUGAGUAUUCUUAGUGUGGAAACAGCGGCAGUGCUGCACUUUCAUCA